GUUAGAAAAAAGCAACAUGAGCUCUCUUUCUGUGCGCUGGUUUAAAUCCCAUCCUAUUUUAAACCCCAUCUUUGAUGGUCUUAUCUAACACUGGCAGAAAAACAGAGGAUGUUGCUUCUCAUCAGGACAGAGCUUGCAUUUAUCUUUCUUUCAAGUGGCACAAUAAAAUAUGGGAAUAAACUUCAGCUUCCCAUGUUUUAAUUCUUCUUUUUUAAUCCCUGUUUUCAUUUUCGAAAUUAUUUGGAUACAAGAAGACAUUUUUUUCUCUUUCCACUUCUGAUUUGUUUGUUGGAGCACUGCCUGCUCACCCUAUUCGGACGUCUAGAGACUCUCUAUUUUUCCAUUUCUGGAAUAGUCAUUCACAACUCAGUGGUUCUUGAGCAAACUCUCAGAAUUUACAGUGUGUUUAUUGGUCUCUCACCAACUGCAGUUUCUGUCUUGUAAUAUUUUGUUUCAAAGUUUCUCUCAGAUACCGUUAUAUAGAUUUUCUUCACAAAAUAAUUUUGUUGUAAGCCUAGGAGUUUAAGUGACAAUCUUCCUAAAGGAUCUAGCUAAUUAGCUAAUUAAAAUGUAAGGGUUUUACGUAAUUUGUUGAACUAGUGGAUUUAAGACAUAAUUGAUGGGUUAAUACAUUUUUAAUAGUAAACUAGUGUGCAAAGGAUACCAUUUGUGUGCAGCAUUGCAGGAAUGCACAAUAAAACUCUUCUGUGUUGAAGAGACCAUACUCAGGUCCAAAUUCUGCCAGUUGUGCCACACAGAUUAAGGGCAGGUUUGUGUAAAAGAGCUUGUAAAAUCUGGUAAAAUAGGGGAGAACCGGUAACCCUGGAUGGAUAUUUCCUCAAAGUGCAGGUAAGGUGGUCUGACUUUUGAGGUGUUGCCAUUGAAAGGAACAGUGAGAAAGAAGAGGUGUGUGGCAUAAACUGAAGCAGAAAUAGCAUGGAAGGAAAAUGCUGAGGGGGAAGUUCAACAAACUGUAAAGCAGAAAAACAUAUGGAGGAAUGAUUGAAAGAUUAGACUUUGGUGGGUUUUGCAUCAGGACCCAUUGCUGUUCUGCCCAACACCUAAUUAGCCUGGUACAGGGAAACGUUAAUGGACUUCACUAUUGACUUUUUUCAUUUUUACAGCUAUAUAAGUUGAAGUGUGGAAGGAAGAUGUAGAAGUGAAUAAAAGGCUGGAAUGUGCUACAUGUGCAUGAGAGUGGCCAGGGCCACUGAACAGUGCAAUGAGACAGGAGCAGGGGAUGGGAACCAGUCCAUUAAAUGAAAUAUCUGCCAAAUCAGACCUGCCCUAUGACUGCAUUUCUCAUUUUACUUCCUUUAUUCCUUCCUAAAGUGUACAGCUUUCAGAUAGACACUUUUGGGAGACUGCCUCAAAAAGAAAACUGCAUCUAUGGUUUGGUUUGAGUACUAAUAGUAUAAUAAUUGUGCUUUAGAAAUAGCCUAGUUUUAAGCCUGGGCAUGAAAUAAUUCUUUUCUAGAAACUGAGACUGUUUGUGAAUCUUUCUUUUCCUGCUGUGGUCCUUUCUGGGUUUUGUCCAGGAUAUCCUUGGAAAUGUGAGCUCCAGAUAUAUCACGAGACAGCCUGUGUUAUGUGGCAGCUGCAUGUUUCAGAACAAAAUGCUGGAGGACAUGGCUAAAUGUGCGUGUGGACUUCUGGAUGUUGAUCAGCACCAAUUGCAAACAUCCUGUUUGGUUGCUGAUCACUGAUUAGCACUGUAAAGCAUCACAAACAAGAUAGAUAGCUUUAGCCACUAAAAAUGAGUCCUCUUCCACUCUCAUGGUCUUUCUAGACAAGAAUUUUCUAAACAGCCAGGUGCAAAUUUGUUUCCAGGGAUCUCACAAACCAGAUUUUGGUCCCAACUAGUUAUUUCAGGCCUAUUUAGACUCUACUGAAAGAUGGAUUUAUAAGGAAAAUGUUGACAGAUCCUGACCUCUUGUAUCACUGGUGGGAGCCACAAUAAUAAUGACUUCCCUUAAUAGUCUUCCAUCAAGUGUUCAAAGCAGUAGUUUUUCCUUUGGUGCAAACAUAAAAAAUGUGGACAGUUUUGUUUUCCUAAACUUGGACAACAUGUAUGUUUCCACCAUUUCUGUGGGAAUGCAGUACACCCUUUUUUAAUUUUAUUAAAAACCACCUUUUUGGCUAAAGUGUGUGCCAUCGCAAAUGCUUUAAGUCUGUCUCAUGUAUCAUGUUCUAGGAAGCUGGAGUCUGCGUAUUUUAUUUCUCCAGGACUUUCUUCCUUUGAGGAGUGUAGAUGAGAACUGUGUUUUUCUUCUCAGAAUGCCUUCAAAUUGGUUGCCUUCCUAACCUGGACAUUGUAAGUGUUUCCAAUAGUUAAAUGACUGUCAAUGAUAGUAAUAUUUUACUGGUACUUGUGUUGCUCAUUGACCCAAACCAAAAUUGAUGAUGGUUAUAGUGAGCUCUGACAUCUGGAAAAAGUUGUAGUGAAUCCCAGCUGCAGUUUAGUUCUUAAUCUCUUGGGAAAAGCCUCUUGCAUUUCAUCUGGGUUGGAAAUCUUGAAAUCAGCUUUGGAUGUGCGUGUGGAAAGAAAGAUAUAAGAGACAAUGCAGAAGGAUCACAGUGUUUCCAUUGUUGUACUUUUUGAAUUCUGCCCAGUAAGGAAGGCACCCAUCUAAUAUAAAUGUAAAGGCUUGUCAGUGCAAGGCAAAAGUUACAUGUUAAAAUGUGUAUCUAUGUUCUAUAGACAGUUUGUUUAUAAAUUAGUCUUCAGUGUCUGACAGGAAGAGUGAAGAAAGAUUUGGGCUGGCUCAUGAAAUCCCACACAGAGCAAUAAAGUGCUUUCCAGAGAAAGGACUAGCUUUUCUCUGAGCCACAGAAGGGUAAAACUUACACUCUUCUCAAAGUUUUACUUUAGAGUUUGUGAAAGGGAUUGGCCUUGCCUACAUACCUCUCAUCAUAAAUGAAAAUAGACAGCCCAUCUGAGGGACUGGCCUUACUUACAUGGAAACUGUUUUACGUAAGAAGAGGAGACUGGUCCAGCAAAGGUGUGGUUUUAUUUACAUCCAUGCCCUUCCCUUAUGAUUGGAGUGUGUUUGGGAGGUGUGGUCUCAUUUACAUCCCGCCUCAACUGCCUUUGGCUUCUCUGAAUUCAACCCUUGCCUGUGGCUGGAAAAGGAACUCCUCCAAGCAGAAUAAAACGGCUGUGUGAAAAACAUGACUGUUUUCUGCCUCUGUUUCUUCAGUGUAUGUGUUCCUGCUGGUAUGUACCUGAAAAGGGAAGGCCAUGUUCCUGAGGAGAGAGUUUUGGGUCUGCGUAGGUAUGUGUAUAUAUGUGUUUGAAAUAAUGAGGUGAACAUAUCAGGUUUUGUGCUGUCCUGAGUGUUAGAGGGUGCUAGAGCUACUUCUGAAGAAAGGUAAGAAAAAGAAGUUCUUAAAGAAUAGCUCCUUUUUUUUUUUUUUUUUUUUUUUUUUUUUUUAAGGUGUAUGUACAACUUUUCAAAGGUGCUGCUGACAGUUCUGGAAGAAGGCCUGUCUUUGGGGGGGGGGUGUGUGUAUGUGUGUGUGUGACAUUUCAAGUAUUCACUUGCAUCAAAGUGAAGCCAGUGUAAACAUGGUAGGAGCAUCUUACAUAAUCUCUGAAGCAGGAUAGAAGGCUACAGCAAAGCAUAAGCAGGGCAGUCAGGAACUGGCUACAUUACAUGCAGUUGCCAUUUAAUAUUCUGUCCCUUCCUCACCAUGUAUAUGGUGUAUAUUCAACUGUAGGGGCCACUGUACCUUAUUUCAGGAAGCAAUUCAGUUGUUACUGGCCUCUGUAUUAACUUUGGAAUGCAGAUACGUUUUUAGCAGAAAGUGGACUGGAGGAACUCCUUGCAUGUGGAUUGUGAGGAAUCCAGAAAACUUUCAAGUUGCUGUUGACUUGGUUGAAUUGAAUUUACAGGGAUUACUAGUCCUUCUCUAUUUUUCUUCUUCCAUCCAUGGCUGAUCAGGCACCACCUUGGUUAAUUCUAGUCAGUAAGAAAGGCAUAGUUUGCUGAUUUGUCUUUUCUUUUUUUUUCUAAAAAGGAAAUGGAAGUAUCUUGGAUCUACAACACUGUGAUGAUUGAGCCAAAUGCAUGUACAUGAGCAUCAGUGUUGUUUUCACUGAGAACAGAGCUAUGGUGUUGCUUUCAUUGUAGGUGGAAAGUGAACAGAGAGUCCCUUUGAUGUGAAGCCCUGAUGUGUGACUGUGUCCAGAAGCACUCAGUACUGAAGGAACUGUGACCAAUACACUGGGACUGGCUGCCUCUGUCGUGGCUGGGAUUACUCUGCUGUGACAUGCUGUUGCUCAGCACAAGAACAAGGCACUUCCAAGAAGAGAGCCUUGUGUGGGGAUGUGCAGGUCAUAGUGCUGUUCUCUAGUUCUUCCCAUUGUUGCCUCUGCUGCCUCUGGUUAUACUCCUGUAACUCAUGGCAAACAUCUAGGCAUGACAGCCUAAAGAUACUAACAUUUUCAAAUCAGAACUCUUUUUCAGCUUUAGAUACCUCUGAGUGCCUUUAUAGACAGCUGGCAAUGAGCCAUUUCUCCUUUGCCCGCAAAAACUUUAGCUAUCUGCCAUACUCUGGUUUAGGAGAUCAAAGGUAAUAAAAUAUUUCCUCUCUUUUCUGUAACCGAGGCAAGCUGAGGUGCACAAAAAUAAUUGCAUGCCAGUCUACCACAAGAGGAAAAGUGUCUGGCAUUGUGUCCCUGGAUUGCAGACAGGUAGGAGAGCCAGAAUGUUUGUCGUCAGGAUCCCUUGCACGUACUCCGGAGCUGCAGCUGAACUUUUUAAGUUACAAAUAGGUAUUGCACCGUCUAUAAAGACACAUCCUCCAGAUGAUGUAAACUGAGUGAUGCACACUGAGGACACCACUGUACAUAAGGCCUUUUUGCACCCAAGGCAGUGACUGGUCUAAACUGCCAUGGCAGAAGCUGUGUAAGCUAGCCUGGACUGUGUGCUAUGCUAUUCUGCUUCUCUGGAGCCAAACUAGGAUGUUUAAAUAAGGCUUUUGAAUCUCUACACUGCCUUGCAUUCAUGGCUUAGCCUGCACUAAUAGACAUAUGCCUCAUUUUUAAAAUUGGCAUAGGUUCCAAAACACAAGGGUGCUUUGUAAAAUUUUCUGGCUUCUUGAUCUUCCUCUUCUCCUUGAACUUUCUUCCUCAGACUUAGCUUCCCUCCUUCAUCCCCAGCAUUGCUCCUGAGCAAACACUCUGGUUACAUCUCUGUGGGCAAGUGAAGGUGUCUGUCCCCAGUGGCAGCUCUCUGGUGAACGUCCAGCAGCUGUUCCCUGUGUCCUGAUGGAUGUGAUAAGCUUUUAGCUAGUGUGCAUACACCAAAAUAGAUUGUUUCUUCUGUCAGAGGAAAAGAUAGCAAGCUUGUAACUUAAGGAAAAGGGAUCCAGUGGGAGAUAAGAGUGUAAGAGACAUUACUGCAGUUCUAUAUUUGGAAUUGGUUACGUAUAUGUGUGGUAACCCAAAUGGUGGGUGGACUGUACUUUCUCAUUACCAUAAUUACAUUUCCUUUCAUAGCUAGGGUUGGGGACGCAUCCAGACAUUGCAGAACACAUCAGUAGAUUUAGUGUGGCUUACUCAGUCUCCAUGUAUCAGACUAUGUCCCAAUUAUGUUACAUUUAGGAAACAGAAUAAUUUUCUGGUUAUAGCACAUGGAAUUUGUGGCAUUCUAAUCCUAGUCAUCCUGCUGUAUGACCUUGGGGAAGUUGUUUUACUUCUCUUUGAUGGUAAAAAAUUAACUCAACCCAUGGAUGGAUUUUAAUACCAUGCCAAGUUUAAAAAAAAUCUUCAGCUAAAGUUAGCCUUCUAAAUCCCUAUUUAGGGGCUAAAUGGGGUCACUUGUUUCCACAAUCCUGAGCACCCAGUAACUGUCUUCAGCUGAGGCCAGCUAGAGAUUUUGGGUGUUCAGCAGUCUGAACAUGAAGUAAAAGAAGAGUGAAAGCAGCUGCUUGUGUGCAUACGAAGAGGAACUCACUGAUGUGGUGUGGUGAGACAGGGACAGCAGUCUGUCUUUCCUGAGUGGUUGUCACAGUCACAGCACUGGGGAAGUGUAGGUGGGAUUAAGCUCAGUAAUUUUGCCAUCUAAAAGUGGAAUGUCUGCCUUAGGCUGGCUGUUCAACAUCUUUUUAGUGGAUCCCUUGGAUCCAGAGCAGCUCUCAACUGGGACAGAUGAGCAUCCCCUGAUGUGUCAUCCUGUCCACCUAUCUGGAUGUGGGCUGAGUUAUCCUGCGGAGACUCUCAGCUUUGUUUGUGAAGUAAAGAGCUUCCUAAACACUUAGACGGCUUGCUCAGGCUCUGCUGAUUGUAAAGUCAGUGAGUGACUUACAGUGCAUUAGAUAAGUCCAAGAGCAUGUUAGAGCUGCUCAUAGCUGCUCAUAGCUGCAUAUCACAGGCCUGAGGUGUUUGGUCAUGAAAGUUAUGAGCAAGUGAAAGCAGGGAGAAAUAGUUGAGCCUUACAAGGAAAAGGAAAUAUAAACUUGACUGUAGUCAUUGAAAAUCUGUUCUACAUUGAUGGCAUGAUUUGUUUCCACUGGAGAGCUUUGUUCUGUAUUUGAGGAGGAAGAUUAAUUUUCCCACGGGAGAAAUAAGCUUUGAAUAAGUCAGCUAAAAAGGAUUGUUCUUAUGUGCACUGCACAUCUAUAGGAGAAACAGAAGACAUUUACAUGCUCCCUGAGGAGAAACCAUGACAAGCAGACAAUUAACCAAUUCCCCGGAAUCCCCAGGUUUAAAGAACCACGUAAUGGCUUAAUUGAGUUGAGUUGCUGAGAGUGUGGCACUGCACUGAGAUUCGUGCUGUGAAGUGCGCGAUUCCCAGAGGCAUCCAUCAGGUUUUAAAGAAUUGACUUUCCAUGCUAAUUGACCCAGAUGUUCCUGAUUUUACCUCACAAUCUCCAUUUCAUUCAAUUACUGUUAAAGAGAAGGGAAUGAGAAAAAAGGGGACUCCAUUUGUCUCAUUUACUAUAUUAAAAGGGAAUUUUCCUAAAGCAACAUUUCAUAGUGCUGAACAAAUUGUUCAACUUGAAUUGGAGCAGCAUUUAUUUUGCUUUUUUUUUUUUAAUUUCCCGAAUGACUGAGCAUGUAUUUUGUAGGCAGUAGAGAAUAUUAGAUAAGCCACUCUGCUUGACAAGGAAAGAGCAGGCAUCGUCACCAGAAGAAUGAGGGCAGUACAGAUGGAUGGAUGGUGUCUGACCUGUCUGACUAGGCAGGGCUGAGCAGCACAGCAUGAGGGCUCAGGGCUCUCGGCUCUCAUGCCUUGGUGCAGUGCUGGUCCACCUGAACAAUCAAAAAAUGAAGAAGGAAAAUCAUGGUUUAACUAUUUUUGUCUUCUAGAAGGCAAGGAGCCAAGUUUGAGGAAUAGGCUUUGCAAUGUGAAUCAGCAGCUGAACUCUUCCAUGUACCAGGCCAGUGGGCACCUCAUUUUGGCAAGCUAUGGUUGUCUUUUAUGUGUGUGUGUAAACAACCCUGGAGCACAAUUAGUCUAAGACUGAUGUUCCCAGUGCAUUCUGGCUGUGUGCAGAACAUGAGUUUUGUUUCUUCUCAAAUUCACAAAGCUUAAUUAAUUUACAAAUCUAGUAUCUCUGUGUGGUAGGGAAUGAGUCCACCUCUGUAGUUACAUUCCCGAAUACCACUGGAGGCUUUUUUCUGUAAGGAUGUUGCUCUGUACCUGGUUAAUGAUUUCAAGUUUACCUCAAAUAUCACUAGAAAGAGACAUGUCGAGGAGCUUUUGUAUGUUCCUAUUUAAACAGGCUGUGUAUCAUUGAAAAUGGUGGAGUUCAUAUGAGUUUACACAGUUGCUAGGGGAGUAGAAUUUAGCCUGAUGCUUGUGAUAAGCCAUAUUUUGUAUCAACUAGUCAAAUUAUGGAACUCUGCUGUGAAGUGAAGGAGUUAAAGGAGUUUACUUUGCUAGGAGUUGUAUGCCUUAUAUGGUCAGUUGAGGCUUUUCUUGCUGCUGGUUUUUUUUUCCUUAAGAAGGCUCGCCUCCAAACUGCUGAAUCAUAUUGCAACCAUAGACCUGGUGAUUUUUCAGAAUUUGAGUCAUACUUGAGCUCUCUGGAUAUCAAGCUGUGAAGCCACACGUGGGCUCAACAGUUUGGCAACCCUCAAGUACAGCUAUGGCAAUAUCAUAUGCAGAGUCCAGAUGUUGGGUGGUUUCAGCCACAGCAUACAGCAUGUUAGAAGAGAGAAACAAUAUGACUCAAAAUUGCUGUUUACUCAAUUUAAAUACCAUGGUUUUUACUGUCCUUGAUGAUUAGCCUGGAUAUUAAGAACCAGACUGCUUUAGAUCUGUAUCCUGUCCCAGAAGAAAGUCUCGUGUAACAACCCAAUAUAAAAUGAGAAAUCUUUUUUAGCAUGUUUGCUCUUGCAUUCUUCCUUACCAAUGUCUUCUGUGAGAAACUGUACCAGUUAGGCCAAUUUCUGAAGACAGUUAUAGAUAUAUCAGGAUUAUUCAAAAGCAACAAGAUCCUGUGAAACCAGAAAUUAAAAAGUCAGGGUAGUACCUGAGGUCUGUAAAUGUAAUAUGAUCAUGUUUUGACUUAAUGCUGUGCUUUUCCCUUACAAGCUGCAGUGAUUAAUUCCUUAGCAAUAAUUAGGUAAGAUGGAGGCAGUCUCUAUUAAAGCAGGCUUCUUCUUCAAAGCUUCUGCAGACUUAGUCAGUUGAGCUCCUUCUCGCAUGCAAUUAAUUUUAAAUAAUGUUCUGUACUUAAAUGAGGUGCUUUGAACUUACUGAAGUUUUGUGCAUAUGAUAAAAGAAACUGAGGAGAGUCUCGGCAAUUUGAUUCUUGUAUCAAUAUUUCUUUAGAAGCAGAGAAUUUAGCCUGUGAAAAGAGUUACUGUUGUUUUGUAGAGCAUUUAAAACAAAGAUCUUUCUUUUUUCACAAUGAACACUAAAUCUGAAAAGGAGCAAACAAUGAAUCACCUAGUCCAAAUUACUUUCUUAUGUCUGCAGAGAACAUGUUGACAAAACUUUGAGGGUUUUGUUUUGUUUUUGUUUUUUUGAGAAUUACUGUGGGACACAUAGUAGCGAAUUGUUCAUUAAUUUGAUCUAAUUUAUUUCAAAUUAGAGGCCUAAAUUUGAGACCUAGACAGCCGUAAAAAUAGGGAGCAUGUUUAAAAAAUACUUACAAAAUGCAAGAAUGUUCCUGUGAAAAUGUGACUAUUGAAGUUUCUGCCUUCAGGCAGAACUGAUGAUCCCUCUGAGCCUGUUGUGCUGCAACUGAACCCUGAAGGUAAUAUGCCUGGUAGUAUACCAGGGUAUUUUUCUGGCUGAAGCAUUAAACUGAGCAUUUUUGUGGGAAGACGUAGUACUAGAGCUGAAGCAGGAGAUACCACAUGGGUGAGCAGGAGGCAACUUUUGUGUACCAGUCUCAGUGCUGAGCAAAUAAACAGGAGGCUCAAAGGGGAAUAUUGUACCGAAAGAAAGAAGAGAUUUAGGGACAUGAAGAAGGGGUAUUGGAAGAAAAAGGGCUUCUUGGGUCUGUGACAUGAAAAAAAGAAUAGUUUAGUUGUUUUCAUGUGGAAGAAGAGUCUAGGAGACAAAACGAGGAGAACGGCAUUAAAAUAUCAAGGAACCAAGAAAACUUUUUGUUUGCUUUGCUUUGUGUUUGUGCAGCUGGGGUAAAACUGAGUUCCUCAGAGGAGAACAUUAAUGGAGCAAAGAAGCACAGGCCCUCAAAACAGAACAGAAAGGCUGGAAGGAGAAAAGACCCAGACAAAUAAUAGCUUUAGAGUUCAGUAACAGCAUAUUGAACUGGCCAGAGAACCUGGAAAUUUUACAAUAUAUUUUUUUUCCAAAGGAAUAGAUAUGUAUGGUAUUUAUCUAAAUUGAAGAUAGUAAGUUUUUGCACUGUUCUGUAUGUUCUCCAUUUUUCCACUACAGUCAGCUGCCUGAAUGCUCAUUUAUUGAGAAGAACAGAAAGGGUUUGAAUAGAGCUUUCCAUGAACACUAUUGUAAGAGAUGAGAUCUACAGGAAGAAUUAAGGAAAUUUAUACCAGGAGCCCAGGAAAGAAAGAAUGAAUGAAAUCCCUGAUGAUGUGCUCAGCAGUGGAGUUGUACAUUAUUGUGAUCCUGUUUAUGACAGCAGAAGGUCCCCUUUAGGUACUGGAAGGCCACAAUGAAGGCCCUGGAGCAUUCUCCUUUCCAGGCUGAACAACCCCAACUCUCUCAGCCUGUCUUCACAGGAGAGGUGCUCCAGCCCUCUGAUCAUCUUUUUGGCCCUUCUCUGGACUCCCUCCAGUGCCUUUCCUGUGCUAAGGACUCCAGAGCUGUAUGCAGUACUCCAGGUGGGGUCUCACCAGAGAAGAGUAGAGGGACAGAAUCACCACUCUUGAGUGUACAUUCCCCUGGACCUUUUCAUGAAGGAAUGUUUAUACCUGUGGGCAAGCACUAAUGGCAGUGAAAGGCUUGCAUUCAUGGGAACAGCAUUUAGCAAUUCAUGGUUGCCAAGGGUGAUGUGCACUGACGACUCAGCCCUCCUUCCUUCCCAUAUCCCAAAUCCCUGAAGAGAGGAGAGGCAGAACAGUUCCUCCAACGAGCAUGAGACUUUGCUUCAGAAUCACUGUAGCAAGGAUUGUGCCGUUCUGGCAGAAAUGAGGAACAAUUUUUUUUUCUGUUCUUGAACCUUCUCUUCAGAAAAAGACAUGGACUGGGGAGAUGAAAGAUCUCAAAUUCUAGACCCACUGUGGCCGACAAACAGCAGAGCCUCCUCAGAGUGCCGCCAUCUGGGAUAUGCCAUCAACUCUAGGAAGCAACCACUCGCAGAUCUAUGGGAAAAGGUGCAACAAAUGCAACAAUCUUUUUCAAGUAUUUCUGCUUCCCAGAGAGAUUUGACAAUCCUGCCUCAGCGCCAGCCAGGGUGUGAUGGGCAGUCUGGCCAGGAAUAUUGGCAGAAAUGUGGGCGAUGCCAAGUGAAAUCUCUUCAGUCCUGUGCUUGGCCUUCUACCAAUCCGUGUGGAAGCGGUGCAGUGCGGCGGUCCGUGAGAGCUCAUUGCAGCAGUGAUUUCCUGUGGAGGUAAUGGUGCUCGGCACCCUGUAUCUCCCAGCCACCUAGUCUUGAAGGAACGGGGAUUGGUUUGGGCUGACUUCUCAGGCUUUCUUAGCAAUGGAGGUAUAAGGAAGUGAAGGAUCUGUUGCACAUACAGAAGAAAUUAUAUGUGUUUGUGCUAAACUUUAAUCUGAGGCUAUUAACAUAAACCAAGUGACCUCUGUAGGAAGAGGUCACUUCACCCCCAGGUCAGGCUUCUUCUUGGUGCAUUCCCUCCACUUAAUAGCUAUGAUUUUUUUUUUUUUAAAUAUUGAAAUAUUGAAAUGCUGGGACAGCAAAAAUCAAAAAAACGAAAUACCUCAAAAUAUUCUAAAGGCUGUAGUAGCCUUAAAAAUUUAAGUAGUAAACAAAAGUUGCCUGGCAGUUUUCUUUAGCUGUGAUAGACAUAUAUAGUUAUCAACACAAUGGCUUUUGCUAGCCAUCGCUUUGCUUCCACAGCAAAGGUUGAAACAAUAACCCUAAACUAAUGAAAAUAAAAAACAGUUCUACAAGCA